UGGACUACAGGGGUAUCUAAUCCUGUUUGCUCCCCACGCUUUCGUGCAUGAGCGUCAGUGUUAACCCAGGGGGCUGCCUUCGCCAUCGGUAUUCCUCCACAUAUCUACGCAUUUCACUGCUACACGUGGAAUUCUACCCCCCUCUGCUACACUCUAGUCUUCCAGUUCCAAAUGCAGUUCCCAGGUUAAGCCCGGGGAUUUCACAUCUGGCUUAAAAAACCGCCUGCGCACGCUUUACGCCCAGUAAUUCCGAUUAACGCUCGCACCCUACGUAUUACCGCGGCGGCUGGCACGC
rnacentral:misc_RNA from 1 species